rnacentral:ncRNA from 13 species
GGCACUAUGGCCGAGUGGUUAAGGCGAGAGACUCGAAAUCUCUUGGGCUCUGCCCGCGCUGGUUCAAAUCCUGCUGGUGUCG